rnacentral:rRNA from 1 species
AUGCACGCUGGCGGCGUGCCUAAUCCAUGCAAGUCGAGCGAACAGACGAGGAGCUUGCUCCUCUGACGUUAGCGGCGGACGGGUGAGUAACACGUGGAUAACCUACCUAUAAGACUGGGAUAACUUCGGGAAACCGGAGCUAAUACCGGAUAAUAUAUUGAACCGCAUGGUUCAAUAGUGAAAGACGGUUUUGCUGUCACUUAUAGAUGGAUCCGCGCCGCAUUAGCUAGUUGGUAAGGUAACGGCUUACCAAGGCAACGAUGCGUAGCCGACCUGAGAGGGUGAUCGGCCACACUGGAACUGAGACACGGUCCAGACUCCUACGGGAGGCAGCAGUAGGGAAUCUUCCGCAAUGGGCGAAAGCCUGACGGAGCAACGCCGCGUGAGUGAUGAAGGUCUUCGGAUCGUAAAACUCUGUUAUUAGGGAAGAACAAAUGUGUAAGUAACUAUGCACGUCUUGACCGUACCUAAUGAGAAAGCCACGGCUAACUACGUG